GACGAACGCUGGCGGCGUGCUUAACACAUGCAAGUCGAACGAAGUGGCGAACGGGUGAGUAACGCGUAAUAAACCUGCCCUUCAGAGGGGGACAACAGUUGGAAACGACUGCUAAUACCGCAUACUGAAGGAGGGGAUUGCGUCGUAUUAGCUAGGUGGAUGGGUAACGGCCCACCAAGGCGAAGGUCAGUAGCCGGUCGUGGAUGAUGAACGGCCACAUUGGGACUGGGACACGGCCCAGACUCCUACGGGAGGCAGCAGUGGGGAAUCAUCCGCAAUGGACGAAAGUCUGACGGAGCAACGCCGCGUGAGUGAUGACGGCCUUCGGGUUGUAAAGCUCUGUUAAUCGGGACGCGGUACCGGAAUAGAAAGCCACGGCUAACUACGUGCCAGCAGCCGCGGUAAUUC
rnacentral:rRNA from 1 species